rnacentral:snRNA from 1 species
AGAGAAUCACUUGAACCUGAGAGGCGGAGGUUGCAGUGAGCCGAGAUCGUGCCUCUGCACUCCAGCCUACAGGACAGAG